CAGUCGCCGCGGUAAUACGAAGGGUGCAAGCGUUAAUCGGAAUUACUGGGCGUAAAGCGUGCGCAGGCGGUGAUGUAAGACAGUUGUGAAAUCCCCGGGCUCAACCUGGGAACUGCAUCUGUGACUGCAUCGCUGGAGUGCGGCAGAGGGGGAUGGAAUUCCGCGUGUAGCAGUGAAAUGCGUAGAUAUGCGGAGGAACACCGAUGGCGAAGGCAAUCCCCUGGGCCUGCACUGACGCUCAUGCACGAAAGCGUGGGGAGCAAACAGGAUUAGAUACCCCCGUAGUCCCUGUCUCUUAUAC
rnacentral:rRNA from 1 species